rnacentral:misc_RNA from 1 species
GAUGAAGAACGUAGCGAAAUGCGAUAAGUAAUGUGAAUUGCAGAAUUCAGUGAAUCAUCGAAUCUUUGAACGCACAUUGCGCCCCCUGGUAUUCCGGGGGGCAUGCCUGUUCGAGCGUCAUUUCACCACUCAAGCCUCGCUUGGUAUUGGGCAACGCGGUCCGCCGCGUGCCUCAAAUCGACCGGCUGGGUCUUCUGUCCCCUAAGCGUUGUGGAAACUAUUCGCUAAAGGGUGCUCGGGAGGCUACGCCGUAAAACAAACCCAAUUCUAAGGUUGACCUCGGAUCAGGUAGGGAUACCCGCUGAACUUAAGCAUAUCAAUAAGCGGAGGA